rnacentral:rRNA from 1 species
GACAGAGGGUGCAAACGUUGUUCGGAAUUACUGGGCGUAAAGCGAGUGUAGGCGGUCUGCUAAGUCGGGUGUGAAAGCCCUGGGCUCAACCCAGGAAGUGCACUCGAAACUGGCAGGCUAGAGUACUGGAGAGGUUGGUGGAAUUCUCGGUGUAGAGGUGAAAUUCGUAGAUAUCGAGAGGAACACCGGUGGCGAAGGCGGCCAACUGGACAGAUACUGACGCUGAGGUGCGAAAGCGUGGGGAGCAAACGGG